GUUACACUUAUUACAGAACUCAAAUCAGAAUUAUAAAAAAUAUAAUAAUAUAAUUAACGUGGCGAAAAUGUCUCGAUUGUAUUUCUUCCUAGCACUUAUUUGUAUCGCCCUCACUGCAGAAGGUCAUCUAAUUCGUGUUGCAAGUCCAGAGGAUGUUACAACCAAGGAGGUUCUGCUACCUCAUGAGAACGAGGUAGAGGUUGCUAGUAUUGCAGUGGACGCACCGGUAGACGAGCUGAUAGAAGAAACCGACACUCAAAAUAAGAUCUUUGAAGCAAUUCUAGACAGAAAAUGCGCUGCUAUCGGAGAAUCCUGCUUGAAUCAUAAAGAUUGCUGCUCAAACUCCUGCUUAGGUUACAUGAAGAAAUGCGUAUCAUAAUAAUCAGAAAGACCCGGUAGACAAUUGGAAGAUCUCAAUCGGCAUAAAAUAAUUGUGACGUGUUCUACUAAAUAUUUUGUUGGAAAGUAUCCAAAUUAUAAAAAAACUCAUUAUUUAA